UUUGUGUACCAUAUCUGUACAAGCACUGAAAUCUAAAAUGGAGGAAAUAUAGAACAUAAACAAAAUGAGGCAUGCUUUUCUAACGAACGAACACAGAUAUUCACAUCCAGGAAAACAAACAUCUAUGAAAUAAAACAAUUACUAUGCCAAGUGCAAGAGACCGUUCAGCGAAAGCUGGAACUCCCAGACAAAAGUCGAGCCAAGGAAAAUCACCGGCUCCUUCCGACGACCCUCCGCUUGUUCUUCCCUCCCACCAAAGAUCUGAAAGUCCGGAUAGUCGAGUGUCGUCUGCUCGAAGCAGACGUACCGAUCCCGCGGGUCUCAUCACAGACUUGACUCGUUUGAAGGAGAUAACACACGAUGCCAGGAUCCAAAGCCCGUCAUACAGAAAGCUGUUGGAUGACUUCGGACCGGAUGAACUUCCACAGACGGGGUUCCUCGAUGAACAGGACGGACUCGAACCCAGGGACACUGUUUUCUUUGGAGGGGAUAUCGAGGGCCGUCCUCAGGAAAUUGAGGACGACAUUGAGGACAUUGAUGAUGAACUGGAAGACGAGUUUGGUGAAGACUUGGAUAACAUAUCUUCCAUCGGCUCAGACGACGAGGCAAAAGCUGCAGAGUAUGACACAGAUCUUGAAGUAGAUGCAGAAAAGCUAAUAUUCCCAGACAGAUAUGAUCACGACACAAGUGGAAAAUCAGCAUAUUUAAAGAAAUGCGAAGAAAUCGGGGUACAGCCGAUCACGUUCUUCUUAAAACAUAUGCAUGACACAGAGCUAGUCAUGAAAUACCACAGUCUUGGUCCUCAGGGGAUGAAAGCAAUAGCCACACCACUGGAGGUGAAUACAGUGAUAGAGAAGAUAGAUCUCGAGGGCAACUACAUCCUGGGAGAGGGAGCCACGUAUCUGACGAGAGUUCUACGAGAAAAUGUUUACGUCACAGAAUUGGUGCUAUGUGAUAACAAAAUCGGGAACGAGGGAGCAAAGGCUAUUUGUGAACUACUGUCUGAAAAUAAAACAAUUAUUCAUUUAAACCUGACAGAGAAAUGCGUCAAUAAAGACGUUAAUGCUCCGCCAUAACAUGUUUGAGGAUGUGGGGGCUCAAUGGUUCUCCGACUCCAUGAAUGAAAAUGUCACCCUGGAGACUCUGGACCUCAGCUUCAACCGAUUCCAAAACAAAGGAUGUGUUCUCUUAGCUCAAGCUCUCAAGGACAACGUUGGGCUAAAAUAUCUUGACAUCAGUAUGAACGGCUUUGGCCUAGAGGGCGCUCGGGCACUAGAGGGCGCUCUGAAGGAAAAUAAGUACCUGACGGACCUAAACAUCAGCUACUGUCGUAUUCCAGACGAGGCUGCUGUCCACAUAGCGGGGGGUCUGCAGCACAACGACACACUGGAAAAUCUAAACAUUGGAUAUAAUCCUUUACAAGAAGAUGGAGCGGACAAAAUAAUGACAGCUAUUCAAGUCAAUCAAAGCAGUGUAUUAAAACUUAUAGACUUUGGUGUUCUCAUGGUAAAAAAGUCGUUCAAAGCACUGGAGGACCAACUUGCAGAAGAGAGAGGUCUAAAGACGAUUUAUGGCGGGGUGUUGCCCGACUGUCCCCGCACGAAGCUUAGGGGAGAGGGUAGAGAGAUCGACGCCAUGAAAAUGCUGCUGCGAGAUCCCAUGUCAAAGUUAAAGGCAUACGUAGAAAAAGAGGGGUACCGAAUGAUCGACCUUCUGAAGUCCUUUGACAGAGACAAUAGCUUUACAAUAUCAUUAGAGGAGCUCAAAGAGGGUAUUAGGAGAUGUAACAUAGACCUCAGCGAUCCUCAGAUUUCACAGCUGAUGAGACAACUGGAUAAAGAUGGAAAUGGGGAAAUUGACUUCAGUGAACUUCUACAAGGAAAUGAUGAAUUAAUACUGAAGAAAAGGGCGGCAAAGAAAUGGCAGCAAGCUCACGAUAAAACUCUAGAAGAAACUCAGAUGGAGGCCAAGUCGGAACCCAAGACCUAUAUGUCAACGAUAGACACGUGACAAUGUAUGUUGCAUACUCUCCUCUUUGACUCUCCUCUUUGACACUCAAGUGGGAGUUUGUGUUUCACCUGUACAUAAAACAUUCUUGUCGGAUUUUUAUUCGUGGACUGAAACUCUUUGGUUGCAGAGUUUAAGUAUUUUCUUGUGGAACGUACUUUUAUGAUUAAGAGUUGUGACUUCUGCACACAUUUGUUCUUUACAUGCAGUAAAGAUUCCGAAUCCGUUGUGCUGUACAGUUAGAGUUGAUGUUUCAUCUUUCACGAGCAUGUAUAAAGCAUGUAACUCCUAUUUUGUUUCACUGUGAAAAUAAUCUCUUUUGAUCAUGUAAAAAAUUAGCAAAACAUUAUAAUGAUUGUUUAUGC
rnacentral:misc_RNA from 1 species